AACAUCAUCAAAGCACCAUGAUGCACCCAGCCUCCGCGGCAGGGCCACCCAUCGUAGCCACCCCGCCCGCUUACUCCACUCAGUACGUUGCCUACAGCCCUCAGCAGUUUCCCAAUCAGCCUUUGGUCCAGCAUGUGCCGCAUUAUCAGUCUCAGGUAAGGCCAGUGGAACCUAACUCACUUCACUCCUAAGAAGAGCAUCUUACUUCGAUUGUUUAUGGGUUUAUGGGUUUUUUGGCUUUGUUUUAUGGUAUCAGAUAGUUAAUGGGGCCUUUUAAAUAUGUUUCUUUUUAUGUGUAUGCUUAGUUUUGCGUGUUGUAAACCGUAUGCUGUGCUUGGUGUGUGGUGCCUGUUGGAGAGGGCACUUGCUGUUCUUGCAGACGACCCGAGGCUUGUUGUCCCCAUACCUAUUUCAGAAGAUCCUUCGGUCUCCAUGGACAUCUGCACACAUACAAAGCACAAAUACUAGGCACAUAUACAUAAAGAAAAUAAAUCUUAAAUUAAAAAGGAAAAAAUUGAAAAGGAAGCAUCUGAGAAAUAGAACUGUGAAAUGUUUCUGGGAACCAUGAAGCUAGGAGUCAGAAGUGACUGGGACAGAGCAAUGGCUCAGCAGUGAGGCGUGUUUCCUGCUGGUGAUGGGGCCCAGCACCCACAUGGCCACUCACAAGUCCUUGUAACUCCUGUUCCAGGGGAUUCGUGUCUUAUUCAGGCCCCUUGUAGCACUGCACAUGUGCAUGCAUACACUCAACAUAUACAGUGAAUCUUUUUAAAAAAGAACCUUAUCUAGACUUCACAUCGUUCAUUUUGGCAUAAUGGAUGUUCUUUUGUCUACAUACAGCAUCCUCAUGUGUACAGUCCUGUCAUACAAGGUAAUGCCAGGAUGAUGGCACCACCAGCACAUGCUCAGCCUGGUUUAGUGUCUUCUUCAGCUGCUCAGUUCGGGGCUCACGAGCAGACGCACGCCAUGUAUGGUAGGAACCAUUUUAUUGUCUUUUCUGUGUGUUUGACUAUAGUUGCUGUAAAGCUCUGUAAAGAUAUUCUGUUUAAGAAUAGCCUGCGAUAGGUAUAGUGGACUGGAUCCUGGCUAUUAGUGGUAGUGGGGAGACUAAAGUACAGGAUCAUUUGAGCCAAGAGGUGAGAGACAACAUAGAGACUCUACCUUAGAAAACAAGGGGGGAAAAAAAAGAAAAAAAGAAAAGAAGAAGAAAAGAAAGGAGGAGUAAAAAUAACCUGACUCUUUGUGAGAGUGAGUGUUGAGAGUCUUAAAACGAAAGCAAACUUAUGUCUGACUUAAUGGCAAUUUAUCUCUACUUUGAAUCUACAAUUCCUCUGUCUUGAUAUGUUUCUCCUUUAAAAAAUGAUGAAAAGAGCUGGGCGUGGGGGUGCACACCUUCAACUUGGGGGUUCAGGGAAGGGGCAGGCAGAUCUUUUUGAGUUUGAGGCCAGCCUGGUCUCCAGAGCAAGUCCAGGACAGUCAGGGAUAUACUAUAAGUAAGACCCUGUUUCAGAGAAACAAACAAGCAAACUUGUGACGUGUAAUGAGAGCAUCUUUGGGGGAAAGAUGUACUUAACGUCCUUCCUGCCCAAGCCUUGCAGGGAAGGGUGUACCAUACAGUCUUUCUUACUUCCCACAUCUUACCAUGUAGAGUCGCCUGUUCAUCUUACAGUAUGCUUGUGUGCUUUUUACAGUCACCUUAAAUUACUCCGAACUUUAAAUGACAACACUAUACCAAACUUAGCACAUAUUUUUUCUAGUGACAUUUGAAUUCUUGGGAAAGUUAGAUAAGUUUGGGUUACUUAUCAGUUGAGAAGUGUACACAAUGGGACUGAGAGUGUGAGUGCAUGCAGCCUUGUACACACUGUGUCUCAUCUUAGUCUGACCCCUUAAGUGAACAUAUGCAGGGCAGUAAGGUCUGUGUUGUGGUGAACACUUGAUCAUUCCGAAUGCUUUAACAUUAUGUAGGCUAACUAAGAGAACAUUGGCCACCCUGAGUGUCCUCCCUGUGUUUGUGAUCACAUGUGUACUGAGCAGGUGCACGCCUGUCACCAGUGAUACAUGCCUGCUGUCAAACACUUGCCUAUGUGAAAUCCUGAGGUCUGCUUGUUCCACAUUUUGAUCAUGGUCAUUGCCAUCGUCAUCAGUGUGUACUGGGCAUUUGAAAUAAAGAGUAGGGCAAGUGCUGUACUUUAGAAAACAUUUUCUUUUAAGCAGUCAAUCCAUUGGCCUGGCAUGGGAGAGUGCCUAUAAAUCUCAGUCCUGUGAACAUCAUAAAAAAGGAGGAUCAGGUAUUGAGACAGUCUGGGUGGCAUAGCAAGACCCUGUCCAGAUCAAAGUCCUCCUGUAAUUUGAUUUAUAAAGAGUGGCCUGGUUUACAUUUUCAUUGAUUUAUAAAGAGUGGCCUGGUUUACAUUUUCAUCAUGAUGAGUCUGUCCUUCAGUGUGUGAUCAGUUGUACUCCCUGGGAUUAGAUCAGACCUCACAUGGAAAGGCCCUGGCGGUGUCUCUCGCUGACCUUGCUGUACCUUGUAUGCAUUCCCACAGUCUUCCAGCUUGGUAAAAGGCUUGGUUGAAGUGCUUAUGUUUGGACACUGCUGCUGUGUGAUUCAGAAGUGGAAGAGACAUUUCUUUCCUCCUGGUUUUCUGGCCCCCACUGGGUUAAGAGGAAACUCUGGAGCUGAAGUUUGUAGUGCUUUUUGGAACAGCACUGUGGCUGCCAGUGCAGUGCUCUGCAGUGCUGCCUUCCUGGUUUUGUCAUGCAGUACCUAUAUAAAAUGGGCACUAGGAAAUGAACUGUUUGGGGAUUUUCCCAUAGUCAAAAAUCAUUUUUUAAUACGUUGACACAGUUUGUCAGUACCUUGGCUGCUCCAUAGAUCAGUUAUGCCAAACAUACAUACAUAUAAGACAUAUAUGUAUGUAUACACACACAGUUUGAAAACUGUUGUAUGGAAAUACUAAUUUUGUGUUCAUUUCCUUUGAAAAGUAUGUAUUUUCUAUAACCCAAGAAAUAAGACACUUGAAGCUGUUGAUUUACAAUGCAGUGGUGCUUUGUCCUCAGUUCUGCUGCUGAUCUGCCUCUCUGUUGUUACUGGUUCUCUCAAGGCAAAGGCCCUCCUUGUGUUGAGGAGGACUACAUGGUGUCACCUUGUACUCUUUGUGAGGAAGGACUUCUAUUAGCAGACUCCCCUUGUUGCCUCUGCCCUGCAAAGUGAUCACUGUAGCGUCUGUCCUGCUCGUCUGAGUUGCUAUUCCAGCAGUGGUUCCAUUUUCAGACUCAGUGGUAGAGCUGUCUGACUGACAAGUCAGCCAGAAGAACUGAAUGUGCUCUCACUAGCCCCACUCCCACUCCUCCAAAAAAAGACAGGGUCUCUGUAUAGCCCUGGCUGGCCUUGAACUUGCUAUAUAGGCCAGGCUGGCCUUGAAUUCAGAGAUCCACCUGCUUCUGCCUCCCAAGUGCUAGGAUUAGAGGUGUGAACAACCAUACCAGCUAAAUAUUUUUUAACAUGUAUAGUUUAAUGCAGAUAAGUUUUUUUUUAAGUACAAUAAGCAUAAAGAAAUAGGAUUUCCUGUAAUCCUUCUGCCUGACAUCUGCUUGUUAAUAUUCAUAUAUUCUCCCAGAGCUUUAAUUAUACCCUUUUAGACAGACACAUUUUAGUAUGAAUAGUGUGAUACUUAAAUUUAUAUUUUUAUGUCAUGAACCUUGGGAUUUACUACCCAAGGGCCUGUGGUGACAUUUGUGUUGCUGUGAAAAAUUAUGUAUCAUGAGUUUGCUUAAAUACUGUUUUAUCUGGGUACCUUGCUUAUGACAAGGCUGUUUGAUGGAUGCCAUGUUGGUCUUUUUAUCAGUUAACGGUUCUCUAUCAGAUAAUAAUCUUAUUCUUUUUAUUUAAGCAAGUCAGCGUGUGGACUUGCUACCUCAGUACAGAAGGAAAGCCUUCCGGUUCAGUCCUGUUCGCUUGUAAAUCUCUGCAGCAAUGCUUAUUUACAGUGCUGGUCACCCCUGACCAAACGAACUGUGCGUGAAUACAAAAGAUCACUGAAUGUGUCGGCCUUUCCAGAGCAUCAGGAAUGCACACCUCAAGAGGCUAAUUUACCUUUCUAUUUCCCACAUUCAGCAUGUCCCAAAUUACCAUACAACAAGGAGACAAGCCCUUCUUUCUACUUUGCCAGUGAGUUGGGGUUUUUAUACUAAUUUUAACUACACAGUAAACACUAUUUAAGGGAUACGUGUUAAAGUAGCUAAUUUGUUGGAGAACAUUUUCUUUCUACCAGACAGAAUUAUUCAAAGUAUGCAUGUCUGGGCUGGGGAUGUGGCUCAGUGGUGGAGUAACUUGCUCUAGCAUGCACCAGGCCCUGAAUUCAUUCCCUAGU
rnacentral:lncRNA from 1 species